rnacentral:rRNA from 1 species
UACAGAGGGUGCUAGCGUUGUUCGGAAUUAUUGGGCGUAAAGCGCGUGUAGGCGGCCUGGCAAGUUGGGUGUGAAAGCCCUCGGCUUAACCGAGGAAGUGCGCCCAAAACUACCAGGCUUGAGUACCGGAGAGGAUAGUGGAAUUCCCGGUGUAGAGGUGAAAUUCGUAGAUAUCGGGAGGAACACCAGUGGCGAAGGCGGCUAUCUGGACGAGUACUGACGCUGAGACGCGAAAGCGUGGGGAGCAAACAGG